UCGGGCUCUCAUACGCAGCCGCCCGGUUUCCCAAGACGCUCCGUCCAAGCGCUGC
rnacentral:ncRNA from 1 species